GCCGUUGCUGGCAGCAAUGCCCCGUCCCCGUGUGUCGCUCUCAGGCUCCGCCCAGGCCCGGGUAACGGUGCCCGUCACCAGGGGAGCGAUUGCGUCAUAAAGGUGAAGUGACAUGUGCACGUUGGUGGGAGAGCCAGGAGUAGGAUCCAGGAGUUCGGGCUCUAAACCAUUAAGACUACUUCUGUAGACUCAGUGGUUGAAAUACUUGGUACACUUCAAGGGAUUCCUAAUCCUUUCCCCACAAGAUGCCUGUUUAUUGGAAACUGUUAUGAAAAAUUACCAGGAGAGGAGACAAAGUGAAGAAAAAGAGCUGAAAACAGUAUUUUUAUAUCCUAAGUAUUUGUAGCCUCUUACCUUUUGAGAUGGAACUUCAGAUACUUGAGGAUACCACGGCUAGGCAGGAAUGUGCAACUCAUGCAUUUAGGUUUAAUCGCUCUGGCAAGAUAGGUAGCAGUCUAUUUUAUGAGUGAACAUAACCUGCAAGGAAAAGGAAAUGCAAGAGACCCAUAACAAAAUGCAAAGACGUUUUCCUGGCCUCUUGAGAAACAAGACUUGAUUGAUGCACAUGCUGACCCAAACAAGAGAGACGUUUGUGCCAGGAAAGUUAGCAGAACCCACUCUAGAAGUGAUGCAGAUCCUUCCCCACCCACUUCGUACAUUAUGUUGGAAAAUCUCAAUUUGGCACUAUCAAAAAGGAAAGGCAGUGAAAUAAGUUUAUGUGCAAAAUAUGGAGAUCAGUGUCAAAAACAUCAAAUUUUGAAAGAGGAAACAUGCACCCCAGCCAAAAAUGGCAGUGAAACUUACCUAUCUGGGUUGUCAGAAGCACAUACAGAAUCAAUCAGUCCAACAUCCAGUGUGCCCUGUGCAACAAAAACCCAACCAAGAAAAAGAGGCAGACAUUUUAACAUCACUAAAAUAUAUUAUUCAAUAUAUUACUUUUAGGCAUAAGCAAAACUGGGAAUUACUUUGCAUACUUUGGUUAUGCAAAACUAUAUAGAUCUAGGUGCCAAUUUCUUCUAACCACUAAAAUUUAGGGGAAAGGGAACAGGGGUUUCAGAUAAACAGAUCUAAUAACAGAUCAACUUUAGUUACGUUCACUGCAAAGCAAGUUCAAAAACAACUUCUAUUUUUCUGAGUUUCACAACUCAGUUGCAAUUUUGACAUAAUUUACAAUACCCUCUAGUGAAUUUACCACCACACAGCAUAGAACCUUGGGAAGCCAACAUCAAACAGAAAUCUAGAUUUUUAUUUUCCUUUGUUUCCUUGUUAGCACUCUCUAAACUGAAUGGGUUAAAUCUGCCCCCCAGUUAUAUGUUCUGUAAAAAUAACCAACGGAAAUGUUCCAAUUUUUUUUUUAAUUAACAGAUAGUUGUAUUUUUUAAUUUAAUCAAACAAGCAUGCCUUUCCAGUACUUUAACUGCAAGUACUGCACUACUGCGUUGGAGCAUGAAAAUUUGAUAGGGAAACUGACUAGAAAAAACGUGAAACUAACUAAUACAUUUAGUUUAGGACAGUGAAAUGCAAAAUCAAGAGGCUAUAAAUAGUAAAAAGGAAAUUUAGAUUAAUAAAAUAAAUCUUAACCUCUAGAUAUUAGCUUUAAC